rnacentral:rRNA from 1 species
UACGUAGGGUCCGAGCGUUGUCCUGAAUUACUGGGCGUAAAGAGCUCGUAGGUGGUUUGUCGCGUUGUUCGUGAAAACUCACAGCUUAACUGUGGGCGUGCGGGCGAUACGGGCAGACUGGAGUACUGCAGGGGAGACUGGAAUUCCUGGUGUAGCGGUGGAAUGCGCAGAUAUCAGGAGGAACACCGGUGGCGAAGGCGGGUCUCUGGGCAGUAACUGACGCUGAGGAGCGAAAGCGUGGGGAGCGAACAGG